CAAACUCAGAGCUUCUGUAGAAAACAAGAGAAAAGUUUCACUCUUUCUUCCUCAUGGCUCUAUUGGGUAGCAGUUUCUUGCCAAAGCAGAUCAUGCUCCAUUUGCCUAACAAAGUCCUUAAGCCAUUUCAAAGAAAAUAUUCUGUGAACAUAAUAUAUUGUGAUAGAUCAAAGGGAAAACCCAGCUCAGGAAGUGGUUCACAACAUAACAGAGUUCUCAGAAUUCAGAGUCAGAAGAGAGUUGAAUUUAAGCAAGAGUUAAUAUGGUCUGGUAGUAGGUCGAAUGCUUUUGAAGAUGAUAAGAAAACUCAAGUAUUCGAUGCUGCCAUUUCUUUGAUGAUCCACUGACAAUCAUCUUCUAAUUCCCAAGUUUUUGUUGCCCUUUGCUUCAUCUGUAAAAGAAAGGAAAAAUGUAAUUCUUCUUCUCAUGUGUUCACCAAAUUUC